GAUCCUGGCUCAGGACGAACGCUGGCGGCGUGCUUAACACAUGCAAGUCGAACGGGCCUGUCUUCUUUUUUGGGGGUGGGUUGAGUGGCGAACGGGUGAGUAUCACGUGAGUAACCUGCCCUUCGGUCCUGGAUAACCGCUUGAAAGGGCGGCUAAUACGGGGUGGUCCGGUUGGUCCGCAUGGGCUGGUCGGGAUAGAUUCACUGUUUUUGGUGUUUCGGCGGGGGAUGGGCUCGCGGCCUAUCAGCUUGUUGGUGGGGUGAUGGCCUACCAAGGCGGUGACGGGUAGCCGGCCUGAGAGGGUGGGCGGCCACACUGGGACUGAGAUACGGCCCAGACUCCUGCGGGAGGCAGCAGUGGGGGGUAUUGCACAAUGGGCGGAAGCCUGAUGCAGCGACGUCGCGUGAGGGAUGGAGGCCUUCGGGUUGUGAACCUCUGUUUCCGGUGGUGAAGGCCCUGUCCGUGUGGUGGGGUUGACGGUAGCCGGGGAUGAAGCGCCGGCUAACUACGUGCCAGCAGCCGCGGUAAUACGUAGGGCGCGAGCGUUGUCCGGAAUUAUUGGGCGUAAAGGGCUUGUAGGCGGCUGGUCGCGUCUGCCGUGAAAUUCUCCGGCUCAACCGGGGGCUUGCGGUGGGUACGGGCCGGCUGGAGUGCGGUAGGGGAGGCUGGAACUCCUGGUGUAGCGGUGGAAUGCGCAGAUAUCAGGAGGAACACCGGUGGCGAAGGCGGGUCUCUGGGCCGUUACUGACGCUGAGGAGCGAAAGCGUGGGGAGCGAACAGGAUUAGAUACCCUGGUAGUCCACGCCGUAAACGUUGGGCACUAGGUGUGGGGGGCCUUUUCCGGGUUUUCCGCGCCGUAGCUAACGCAUUAAGUGCCCCGCCUGGGGAGUACGGCCGCAAGGCUAAAACUCAAAGGAAUUGACGGGGGCCCGCACAAGCGGCGGAGCAUGCGGAUUAAUUCGAUGCAACGCGAAGAACCUUACCA
rnacentral:rRNA from 1 species